rnacentral:rRNA from 1 species
GAUGAACGCUGGCGGCGUGCCUAAUACAUGCCAGUCGAGCGAACAGACGAGGAGCUUGCUCCUCUGACGUUAGCGGCGGACGGGUGAGUAACACGUGGAUAACCUACCUAUAAGACUGGGAUAACUUCGGGAAACCGGGGCUAAUACCGGAUAAUAUAUUGAACCGCAUGGUUCAAUAGUGAAAGACGGUUUUGCUGUCACUUAUAGAUGGAUCCGCGCCGCAUUAGCUAGUUGGUAAGGUAACGGCUUACCAAGGCAACGAUGCGUAGCCGACCUGAGAGGGUGAUCGGCCACACUUGAACUGAGACACGGUCCAGACUCCUACGGGAGGCAGCAGUAGGGAAUCUUCCGCAAUGGGCGAAAGCUUGACGGAGCAACGCCGCGUGAGUGAUGAAGGUCUUCGGAUCGUAAAACUCUGUUAUUAGGGAAGAACAAAUGUGUAAGUAACUAUGCACGUCUUGACGGUACCUAAUCAGAAAGCCACGGCUAACUACGUG